GUAGGUGAACCUGCGGAAGGAUCAUUAAAGAGUUAGGGUCUUCUAGGCCCGAAUCUCCCAACCCCAUGUUUAUUCGACCGACGUUGCUUCGGCGGGCCCGUUCUUUCACGAGAACCGCCGGGGGACUGUAACAGGUCCUUUGGCCCGCGCCUGCCGAUGGCCUCAUCAAACAAAUUCUUAAGAAUCGUGUCUAUUGUCUAAGUACGCCUUUUUCUAAAUGAAAAAUAAAAAACUUUCAACAACGGAUCUCUUGGUUCUG
rnacentral:misc_RNA from 1 species